GACGAACGCUGGCGGCGUGCUUAACACAUGCAAGUCGAACGGAAAGGCCCUGCUUUUGUGGGGUGCUCGAGUGGCGAACGGGUGAGUAACACGUGAGUAACCUGCCCUUGACUUUGGGAUAACUUCAGGAAACUGGGGCUAAUACCGGAUAGGAGCUCCUGCUGCAUGGUGGGGGUUGGAAAGUUUCGGCGGUUGGGGAUGGACUCGCGGCUUAUCAGCUUGUUGGCGGGGUAGUGGCUUACCAAGGCUUUGACGGGUAGCCGGCCUGAGAGGGUGACCGGCCACAUUGGGACUGAGAUACGGCCCAGACUCCUACGGGAGGCAGCAGUGGGGAAUAUUGCACAAUGGGCGGAAGCCUGAUGCAGCAACGCCGCGUGCGGGAUGACGGCCUUCGGGUUGUAAGCCGCUUUCGCCUGUGACGAAGCGUGAGUGACGGUAAUGGGUAAAGAAGCACCGGCUAACUACGUG
rnacentral:rRNA from 1 species